rnacentral:rRNA from 1 species
AUCCAGACUCCUACGGGAGGCAGCAGUCGGGAAUAUUGCACAAUGGAGGAAACUCUGAUGCAGUGACACCGCGUAUAGGAAGAAGGUUUCCGGAUUGUAAACUAUUUUAGACAGGGAAGAAAAAAGACAGUACCUGUAGAAUAAGCUCCGGCUAACUACGUGCCAGCAGCCGCGGUAAUACGUAUGGAGCAAGCGUUAUCCGGAUUUACUGGGCGUAAAGGGAGCGUAGGCGGCCUGCCAAGUCUGGAGUGAAAGGCGGGGGCUCAACCCCCGGACUGCUCUGGAAACUGUACGGCUGGAGUGCAGGAGAGGUAAGUGGAAUUCCUAGUGUAGCGGUGAAAUGCGUAGAUAUUAGGAGGAACACCAGUGGCGAAGGCGGCUUACUGGACUGUAACUGACGUUGAGGCUCGAAAGCGUGGGGAGCAAACAGGAUUAGAUACCCUCGUAA